rnacentral:rRNA from 1 species
AUGAACGCUAGCGGGAGGCUUAACACAUGCAAGCCGAGGGGUAUAGUUACUUUYGGKAACUAGAGACCGGCGCACGGGUGCGUAACGCGUAUGCAACUUGCCCUACUGAAAAGGAUAGCCCUUCGAAAGGAGGAUUAAUACUUUAUAACAGAUUUAAUGGCAUCAUUAGAUUUUGAAAGAUUUAUCGCAGUAGGAUAGGCAUGCGUAAGAUUAGUUAGUUGGUGAGGUAACGGCUCACCAAGACGAUGAUCUUUAGGGGGCCUGAGAGGGUGAACCCCCACACUGGUACUGAGACACGGACCAGACUCCUACGGGAGGCAGCAGUGAGGAAUAUUGGACAAUGGGUGGAAGCCUGAUCCAGCCAUCCCGCGUGUAGGAUGACGGCCUUAUGGGUUGUAAACUACUUUUAUCUGGGGAUAAACCUACUUACGUGUAAGUAGCUGAAGGUACCARAAGAAUAAGCACCGGCUAACUCC